rnacentral:lncRNA from 1 species
AAAAAACGACGGAAUUCUAAAACUUGAAGAACUGAUCCAUUCCUUCUCGUAAUUUUCCAAACUUUCAAACGUCCACUAAAAAGUUAAAUCCUACAUAUGUUUGUUUUUCUUUCUUGUUCAAUUGGAGCUGCAAUUUACUAAUUCAAAGAUAUUCAAUUUGAUUGUUGGUGUGAUCAAAGAUAAUCAAAUAAACAUAGAGGAUUGGGUUUCUGCUUCCGGUCUUUGAUCUGGAAACCGAUGGAAUUCGACUGAGAUCGAUUUGGGUUUCGAGCUUUUUAGUGUCGAUUCGAGGUUUCAUUUGCAAUGUCGAUGUUUUGGUCUAUGGAUUGUUGCUUUGCGAAACCCGAUUGAUUUGCAGUUUUGAGCUUUAGUCAUCAAUAAAAGGUCCAUUUCUUACUCAUCUCUUCUUCAAUUAUGUAUGCUCUUAUAAUUCUUUUGAUGAAUUGAAUUAAACUGAUGCAUAUGCGUUUGAGAUUACACAUAUAUUUGUUUGGGUGGUAUGUGACAUGUUUCCGUUCUCCUCAGUUUAAUGAUUGUUGAGUUAUUAGUCUAUUACUAAGGUUUUUUUUUGAAAAAAAUAUAAUGAACUAAGGCUCUGUUUUUAGUUACCAUCCAUGCUAGUUAUGAAUUCUAGGUCGUUUCUAUUUUUAUAUUGUUUUCAUAGUCUAUUAUAUUUUAUGUUUAGUUACAAUCCAUGCAUAAGUAAAGAAAAUUAGUAUUUUCAUUGUUAAAAAAGGGGUGUGACAGGGGGCAAACGUCAUAUAUGGGUCAGAAGAAGAAGAGGCAUUAGCGGUAAUGAGGAAUUUGUUUCUAGAGGGUGAUAU